rnacentral:rRNA from 1 species
UACGGAGGGUGCAAACGUUGCUCGGAAUCACUGGGCGUAAAGCGCACGUAGGCGGACUCUUAAGUCGGUGGUGAAAUCCUGGAGCUCAACUCCAGAACUGCCUUCGAUACUGAGAGUCUCGAGUCCGGGAGAGGUGAGUGGAACUGCGAGUGUAGAGGUGAAAUUCGUAGAUAUUCGCAAGAACACCAGUGGCGAAGGCGGCUCACUGGCCCGGUACUGACGCUGAGGUGCGAAAGCGUGGGAGCAAACAGG